rnacentral:rRNA from 1 species
AUUGAACGCUAGCGGGAUGCCUUACACAUGCAAGUCGAAAGGAGUGGCGAACGGGUGAGUAAUGUAUCGGAACGUGCCAAGUAGCGGGGGAUAACUACGAGAAAGCGUAGCUAAUACCGCCUACUAUUGGGGCGGACGAUAUCGGAUUAGCGAGGGGGUGGGGUAACUGCUCACCAAGGCGACGCUCCGUAGCUGGUUGUAGAGGACGAACAGCCACACUUGGACUUAGACACGGCCCAGACUGCUACGGGAGUCAGCAGUUGGGAAUUUGGGACAAGGGGGGAAACCCGGAUCCAGCAAUCCCGCGUGUGCGAUGAAGGCCUUCGGGUUGUAAAGCACUUUUGGCAGGAAAGCGGUACCUGCAGAAUAAGCACCGGAUAACUACGUGCCAGCAGCCGCGGUAAUAC